UACGUAGGGCGCAAGCGUGUCCGGAAUUAUUGGGCGUAAAGAGCUCGUAGGCGGUUUGUCGCGUCUGCUGUGAAAACUCGAGGCUCAACCUCGGGCUUGCAGUGGGUACGGGCAGACUAGAGUGCGGUAGGGGUGACUGGAAUUCCUGGUGUAGCGGUGGAAUGCGCAGAUAUCAGGAGGAACACCGAUGGCGAAGGCAGGUCACUGGGCCGCAACUGACGCU
rnacentral:rRNA from 1 species